GGGCCCAUAGCUCAGGUGGUAGAGCACUGUGCUGAUAACGCAGGGGUCAGUAGUUCGAAUCUACUUGGGCCCA
rnacentral:tRNA from 1 species